GAGACUGCCGGUGCAAACCGGAGGAAGGUGGGGAUGACGUCAAGUCCUCAUGGCCUUUAUGACCAGGGCUACACACGUACUACAAUGGCCGGUACAAAGGGCAGCGACACAGCGAUGUGAAGCGAAUCCCGAAAAGCCGGUCUCAGUCCGGAUUGGAGUCUGCAACUCGACUCCAUGAAGUUGGAAUCGCUAGUAAUCGCGGAUCAGCACGCCGCGGUGAAUACGUUCCCGGGCCUU
rnacentral:rRNA from 1 species